CAGCCCUAAUUGAGUUCACCCUAACUGAGUUGUUGCUAGUUAAUGAGCCUGUUUACAUGAAGACUCAAAUCCUUCUUUCUCCCUUAGAUUCUCUGGCAUCAUUAAAUCUUCUAAACAUUAGGGAACAUCUCUAAAUGCAAGUCUUGGACAUCACCGCGCUCAGCACACCCCAUGUUCUGGAACAGUCAGGGGACUCCCUAACAGAGGCCAGUUUUCAUCCAAGGAGUAGCUAAAACCCUGUGAGUUUUGAGGUUACUAAGUCCUCCUCAAUGUGCUCACCUGGGAUGGUGUGGAAAGCUUUGGAACCACGCUGGCCUGGGUUAGGAUCCCAGUCUAUCGCUUGCUAUCUUUGUGGCCUUGGGCAAUUUACCUAACCUCUCUGAACUUGUUUUCUUAUCCCAAAAAAAAAAAAAGAAAGAAAUGAAACACCAAAGCAAAACAAAACAAAAAACUACGAGCCUUGUAGGGUUACUGUGGGAUUAGAUGAAAUCAAGGUAUGCAGUUGGUACCUAAUACAUACCAGCUCUCCUCCCCCUCCUUCUGCCUGCCAAGGUGAUUAACAUUCUGCAGAGACAAGAACAGCCAAGCAACUUUCUCUAAAAGAAGAUUCGUUUCUCUGUUCACGUUUUUCCUGGAAGGGCACUAACAGGAAACCUUAGACUGGCAGGAGCACCUUCACUUUGGUCCUUCUGCGCAGUAAUAAAAGGUUCCCACAGAGCCUCACCCGCCUGGAGCUGGCGUGUAUGACAUGAUAUGAACCACGUGCGUCCAUUGGAAAAUGGCUGUCUUGCCAUCUAUGGCCACCAGGAGGUCAGGGCUCGCAUCUCCCACUCACCUGGGCCACUAGUCAGCCUCGCUUCGGUCCGUCUUCCACUCUUGCCCUCCCCGAAGACACUUCUUCCGCGGAGGCCAAAUCUCAAAAUGCAAAUCUGCAAAUCCAGUUACAGACGCCUGCUCUGCCCCCUCCAUCGUCUUUCCUGCAAACCCCAACGCGGCCCACCCGCUGCCUACCACUCCUGUCCCCGUCCCGGCCUCCUCUCUCCCGGAAGCUGGACCUUCCUUCUCCCGGAAGCUGCACCAGCCACAGAAUCUCCGAGACUCUGGCUGCCCAGCUCCUCCAUAAUAACCAGGCAUGGAUGAGACAGAGAUUUUACAACCCUCACUGGAAUAUCCUGCUGCCUGAAAAAGCACCACGGACCUGGAGUCUUGAAACCAGAGGCAGCCCGAAUCCAGCCACUGUCCCUGCUCCUCAGCAGGGUUGAUUAAUUCAGGCAAGAGCCAGGAUUUGCCUGAUGGUCCAGUGGAUAGGAAUCUGCUUGCCAACACGAGGGACAUGGGUUUGAUCUCUGGUCAGAGAAGAUUCCACAUGCCUCAGGACAACUAAGCCCAUGGGCCACAGAACUAUUGAGCCCACGUGCCCCAGAGCCCAAGUUCGACAAGAGAAGCCACAGCAAUGAUAAGCCUGUAUGACACUCCUACAGAGGAGCUGGCCUCAGCAAUGAAGACCCAUCACAGCCAAAAAUAAAUAGGAAAAUAAAGUUGUUUAAAAAAAAAAAGCUUCCACUCCCAUGACCAUUGUCUGAGGUUCAACAGCAGGAGUUUAUCAAAGAAGGGGAACAUCCAGCUAAGACUAGUACCUCAGAAGGUUUAACAGAAGGUUAGAAACACACCUAUUUUAAGGUUUGCAGCCUAAAUGUCACAUAGGAAUAAAAAGGAACCCCAGUGAAGGACUCCUCACAUAGAAUUCCAUCACAAAUUAAUCACAGGUUAUCAUAAGUUGAGGGAAAUGGCAGUAUAGCAGAAAAAAUUUAUUUUAAUUUAUACCUCUAAUUAAGCAACAUUUGAAACUUUUCUGUUUAGUUGAAAGUCUGUUUAUCUACUGCUGAAUAAUAAAAUACCCCCAAACAUAUAUACAUAUGUGUGUGUGUAUAAUUCACAUACCAUUAAAUUCCCCCUAAGGCAUACAAUUCAGUGGUUUUUUCAGUAUAUUCACAAAUUGGUCAGACUAUCACCGCUAACUCCAGAACAUAUAGUGUCAAGUGUAAACUGUUAGUCGCUCAGCAGUGUCCAGCUCUUUGCAACUCCAUGACUGUAGCCUCCCAAGCUCCUUUGUCCAUGGGAUUCUCAAGGCAAGAAUACUGAAGGGGUUGCCAUUUCCUUCUCCACGGGAUCUUCCUGAACCAGGGAUCGAACCCUGGUUUUCCUGCAUUGCAGGCAGAUUCUUUACCAUCUGAGCCACCAGGAAAACCAACACCAGAACAUAUUCAUCACCUCAAAAAAGAACCC
ensembl:lncRNA